rnacentral:rRNA from 1 species
AGAGUUUGAUCCUGGCUCAGAUUGAACGCUGGCGGCAUGCCUUACACAUGCAAGUCGAACGCGAAAGGGGGCAACCCCGAGUAGAGUGGCGAACGGGUGAGCAAUACAUCGGAACGUGUCCUGUAGCGGGGGACAACACAUCGAAAGAUGUGCUAAUACCGCAUACGAUCUACGGAUGAAAGUGGGGGACCGCAAGGCCCCACACUAUAGGAGCGGCCGAUGCCGGAUUAGCUUGUUGGCGGGGUAAAAGCCCACCAAGGCGACGAUCCGUAGCUGGUUUGAGAGAACGACCAGCCACACUGGGACUGAGACACGGCCCAGACUCCUACGGGAGGCAGCAGUGGGGAAUUUUGGACAAUGGGCGCAAGCCUGAUCCAGCCAUGCCGCGUGAGUGAAGAAGGCCUUCGGGUUGUAAAGCUCUUUCGGCCGGGACGAAAUGGCGCGGGGUAAUAUCCCGCGUCGAUGACGGUACCGGAAGAAGAAGGACCGGCUAACUACGUGCCAGCAGCCGCGGUAAUACGUAGGGUCCAAGCGUUAAUCGGAAUUACUGGGCGUAAAGCGUGCGUAGGCGGUCUCGCAAGUCCGAUGUGAAAUCCCCGGGCUUAACCUGGGAACUGCGUUGGAAACUACGAGGCUAGAGUGCGGCAGAGGGGGGUGGAAUUCCAGGUGUAGCAGUGAAAUGCGUAGAGAUCUGGAGGAACACCGAUGGCGAAGGCAGCCCCCUGGGUUAGCACUGACGCUCAUACACGAAAGCGUGGGGAGCAAACAGGAUUAGAUACCCUAGUAGUCC